rnacentral:rRNA from 1 species
UACGGAGGGUGCGAGCGUUGUCCGGAAUCACUGGGCGUAAAGGGCGCGUAGGCGGCGCGGGCAGUCAACGGUGAAAGCUUGGGGCUCAACCCCGAGUCGGCCGUCGAUACUCCCGUGCUUGAGCACUGUAGAGGCAGGUGGAAUUCCGGGUGUAGCGGUGGAAUGCGUAGAGAUCCGGAAGAACACCGGUGGCGAAGGCGGCCUGCUGGGCAGUAGCUGACGCUGAUGCGCGACAGCGUGGGGAGCAAACAGGAGUUAGAUGACCCUU